rnacentral:misc_RNA from 1 species
GAUGAAGAACGUAGCGAAAUGCGAUAAGUAGUGUGAAUUGCAGAAUUCAGUGAAUCAUCGAAUCUUUGAACGCACAUUGCGCCCCUUGGUAUUCCAUGGGGCAUGCCUGUUCGAGCGUCAUUUGUACCUUCAAGCUUUGCUUGGUGUUGGGUGUCUGUCUCGCCUCCGCGUGUAGACUCGCCUCAAAACAAUUGGCAGCCGGCGUAUUGAUUUCGGAGCGCAGUACAUCUCGCGCUUUGCACUCACAACGACGACGUCCAAAAGUACAUUUUUACACUCUUGACCUCGGAUCAGGUAGGGAUACCCGCUGAACUUAAGCAUAUCAAUAAGCGGAGGA